rnacentral:snRNA from 14 species
AUACUUGGCAGGGGAGAUACCAUGAUCACGAAGGUGGUUUUCCCAGGGCGAGGCUUAUCCAUUGCACUCUGAAUGUGCUGACCCCUGCCAUUUCCCCAAAUGCGGGAAACUCGACUGCAUAAUUUGUGGUAGUGGGGGACUGCAAGUCAUGUGAAGCAAGCCACUAAGUAGCAACCCUCUA